CCUACGGGAGGCAGCAGUGGGGAAUCUUGGGCAAUGGGCGCAAGCCUGACCCAGCAACGCCGCGUGAAGGAAGAAGGCUUUCGGGUUGUAAACUUCUUUUGUCAGGGACGCAGCAAGUGACGGUACUUGACGAAUAAGCCACGGCUAAAUACGUGCCAGCAGCCGCGGUAAUACGUCGGUGGCAAGCGUUAUCCGGAUUUAUUGGGUGUAAAGGGCGGGUAGGCGGGGUAGUAAGUCAGAUGGGAAAACCACGGGCUCAACCUGGUGCCGGCAUUUGAUACUGCUAGUCGUGAGUGCUGGAGAGGGAAUCGGAAUUCCCGGUGUAGCGGUGAAAUGCGUAGAUAUAGGGAGGAACACCAGUGGAGAAGGCGGGUUGCUGGACAUUAACUGACGCUGAGGCGCGAAAGCGUGGGGAGCAAACAGGAUUAGAUACCCGAGUAGUC
rnacentral:rRNA from 1 species